rnacentral:tRNA from 1 species
GCGGUUGUAGUUCAGUUGGUUAGAAUACCUGCCUGUCACGCAGGGGGUCGCGAGUUCGAGUCUCGUCAACCGCGCCA